GUGUCAGCCGCCGCGGUAAUACGGGGGGGCAAGCGUUGUUCGGAAUUACUGGGCGUAAAGGGUUCGUAGGUGGCUCGCUAAGUCAGACGUGAAAUCCCUCAGCUUAACUGGGGAACUGCGUCUGAGACUGGUGAGCUUGAGUGCAGGAGAGGAACGCGGAAUUCCAGGUGUAGCGGUGAAAUGCGUAGAUAUCUGGAGGAACACCGGUGGCGAAGGCGGCGUUCUGGACUGCAACUGACACUGAGGAACGAAAGCCAGGGGAGCAAACGGGAUUAGAUACCCUGGUAGUCC
rnacentral:rRNA from 1 species